rnacentral:rRNA from 1 species
CCUACGGGUGGCAGCAGUGAGGACUAUUGGUCAAUGGGAGAGAUCCUGAACCAGCCAAGCCGCGUGAGGGAAGACGGCCCUAUGGGUUGUAAACCUCUUUUGUCGGAGAACAAAACCCGGGACGUGUCCCGGACUGCGUGUAUCCCAAGAAAAAGCAUCGGCUAACUUCCUCCCAGCAGCCCCGGUAAUCAGGAGGAGGCGAGCGUUAUCGGGAUUUAUUGGGGUUUAAGGGUGCAUAGGCGGUCCGGUAAGUCAGCGGUAAAAUUGCGGGGCUCAACCCCGGCGAGCCGGUGAAACUGGCAGACUUGAGUUGGCGAGAAGUACGCGGAAUGCGCGGUGUAGCGGUGAAAUGCAGAGAGAUCGCGCAGAACUCCGAUUGCGAAGGCAGCGUACCGGCGCCAGACUGACGCUGAGGCACGAAAGCGUGGGGAUCGAACAGGAUUAGAUACCCUUGUAGUC